UACAGAGGGUGCGAGCGUUGUCCGGAUUUAUUGGGCGUAAAGAGCGUGUAGGCGGCCAGGUAGGUCUGCUGUGAAAACUCGAGGCUUAACCUCGAGCUGUCGGCGGAAACCAUCUGGCUAGAGUCCGGAAGAGGAGAAUGGAAUUCCCUGUGUAGCGGUGAAAUGCGCAGAUAUCGGGAAGAACACCCGUGGCGAAGGCGGUUCUCUGGGACGGUACUGACGCUGAGACGCGAAAGCGUGGGGAGCGAACAGG
rnacentral:rRNA from 1 species